CCGGAAGUGGCCAUUGUGCGCAUGACGUUCUGGGAUAAAUCGACAUCAAAGGAUUUAUUUUGAUAUCAGUUACCUCUCGCCGGUAGUCGAGUAAAAUAUGUUAAUAAACAUGUCACCGUCCGGCUCAACUAUGGAAGAAAAGCUUUCAUCCAUAAUGGACGUACUUGCGAAAGCGGCUGUAUCUGAAAUUAGCCAACUGUUCUCGGAAGCGUCGGCUACUCUUCAGUUACAAAUCACUCAGAGCCGCGAAGAAAACGAAGCGCUGAGGACGAGGAUGAAGGAGAUGAGGAGUGAGCUGUUUUCUCUGCGGCUUCAAACAAGAUCGAAAGCAUCGGGUGCGGCAAUUCGUUUUGCUCUGACUCGUGACAACAUCUGCAAACCUGAGACUUCAUCACUGGGAAAUGAAGACUGCGAUGCCUUUGGAGACCGCAGCACCCAGAGCGGAGCCACCUUGGAGAGUCUCCAUGUGGACGGCGCUGGCUCCUCCCACGUGUUCAGUCAAAACGCAGAGCUGCGGAUCCUGAGUGUCCACGGGCGGGGGGGGGGG
ensembl:lncRNA